CAUGACCUCAGAUCAGACGGGGCGACCCG
rnacentral:rRNA from 1 species